GUCGUAGGACUGACGCUAGGCAUCGCAGAUACAACCACAACCUCCAACUCCUGAAACCACUUUCAUCGCGAAGUACUCAGGCUUGAACCAUGAGCCUUAUACCUGCUGGACAAGAACUCUACUGAUCAGUAGAUGGUUCAUGAGAACACUUCUCUGGCUUAGUCUCCGUGACAGGGCAGAAACCAACCAAGAGUCAUGCAGGACACUUUUGAGUCCAUCCAGCUAGUAAAUGUUGACAGAGACCCACAUUGGAGCACUGGGC